AUUAACAAUGAACAACAAUCAAUCUUUCAAACCCGGAAAAUUACAAAAAUAGAAAAGAACUCAGCUUAGGUCUAAACGACAAGCAACAUGCAUCAUGUUACAAAGUAGGAUUAGCCUACUUAAUUUUCAGCUUUUUUCUGAUUAAGAAUCAGAAACUGGAGCUUGAGAUCAGCAUCUGUCAUAAUAGAAAGAGUUAAAUACUAUUUACUCCCUAUACUUAUAGGGUUUCAUCAUUUCAGUCCCUGACCUUCGAAUUUCACCUAAAAAGUCCCUGAACUCUCAAUUUCCUCCAAAUUAGUCCAUGCCGUCAAAGACUCCGUUAUUUUGCUGACGUGACGGUCGUUUUUCCUCUAAAAAGUCUAUUAUACCCUCACUUAUUUUUUAAUUUUUUUAUUAUUAAUUUUAUUCUCUCUCUAUCUCUUUUUUUUUUUUUUUUUUUUUUUUUUGUACCUCUUCUCCUUCCACAUAGAGCGUCUUCUUCUUCUUCCAAAAAUAAACCCAAAAUAAACCCAGCUCUCUCUCCAUCUCUAGACCUUCGACGACGCUGAACAAUUGAAAUUGAACAAAAACCCCAAACUCCAACCUUGAACAACUACAAGAAGAAGAAGAAGAGCCCCAAAACGACGAAGAUGCCCCUUUUCUCUCUAUCUUCUUCUUCUUCACACCCAAAUUAAUCACCAUAACCACCACUGAGCUCUCUCUCCAUACCCAACUACCAAUCCCAUUGCAAUCAACACCAAGCCUAAAUGCCUUCAUAUCUUCAUGAAAUUACCCUUUACAUUCUCAGGAAACCCACUUCAUCUCUUUAGAUUUACUAGGCCUGAUCUGGAAAUACAUAGUGGAGAAUGAACAACUCUUUCAUUCUUACGAAACUCUGCUCGUCAGCUAACUUCGGCGGCUAAAAUCUCCAUCUUCUGUUGCUGAGAUAGUCACGACUUCUUCAUAAAAGUUGUUCAAAAUCGAGUCUUCUAAACUGUAUUCAAAUUUCAUGAAAAUCCAACGGUUGAAUCUUCCAAAAUCAAGUCCCUCUUCGAAAUGGGUCGAGUUCUUCUCUUGAGAUUGAAUUCAAUUCAUGAAGUACUCAUUUCAAUCUUGAGCACGUUGAAGCCAUCAAGGAGAGAGAGGCAAAAGGAGAACAUAUGCAAUCUGGGUACCUCGCCCAGCCCAACACCAACGCCGCCCAAGCUGCCCAGCGCCCGCCGAAACCCGCCUAUCUGUUCUGGGUAUUUGAGUUUUUGGUAAGGUUUUGCUGGGUGAAGUGUUUUGAUUCAAAAUCUCAUUUGGGUAUUUGAGUUUUUGUGAGGUUUUCUAUCAAGAUCGAAUUUUUGGGUUUAUGUUAGUUUUGGGGCACACAUUUUGAUUGGAAUUGGGUCCGGUGUGGUUUGGAAUGAAGAAAGUGAUGGGACUGUACUCAAUUGAGCUCACUAUGUUGUGAAUGAAUCGAAAAAAUUGAAUUGAA